rnacentral:rRNA from 1 species
GGGCACUAGGUGUGGGGGACAUUCCACGUUUUCCGCGCCGUAGCUAACGCAUUAAGUGCCCCGCCUGGGGAGUACGGCCGCAAGGCUAAAACUCAAAGGAAUUGACGGGGGCCCGCACAAGCGGCGGAGCAUGCGGAUUAAUUCGAUGCAACGCGAAGAACCUUACCAAGGCUUGACAUAUACCGGAUCGUUCCAGAGAUGGUUCUUCCCCUUUGGGGUCGGUAUACAGGUGGUGCAUGGCUGUCGUCAG